rnacentral:rRNA from 1 species
AAUGAACGUUGGCGGCAUGGAUUAGGCAUGCAAGUCGAGCGAGAAGUGUAGCAAUACACGGAAAGCGGCGGAAGGGAGAGUAAUACGUGGGAAUCUGCCCUUAGACCUGGGAUAGCAGCGGGAAACUGCUGGUAAUACCAGAUAAUGUCUAUGGACCAAAGGUGUGAUUCCGUCUAGGGAUGAGCCCACGUCCUAUUAGCUAGUUGGUAGGGUAAUGGCCUACCAAGGCGAUGAUGGGUAGCGGGUGUGAGAGCAUGACCCGCCUCACUGGGACUGACACACUGCCCAGACACCUACGGGUGGCUGCGGUCGAGAAUCUUCGGCAAUGGGCGCAAGCCUGACCGAGCGAUGCCGCGUGCGGGAUGAAGGCCCUCGGGUUGUAAACCGCUGUCGAGGGGGAGCAACUUCCAUAGAGUUAUCUUUAUGGAUUGAGUGAUCCCUGGAGGAAGGACGGGCUAAGUUCGUGCCAGCCGCCGCCGUAACAC